GGGGAUUUAGCUCAGCGGCAUAAGCGCCUGCCUUGCAAGCAGGCAGUCGUGACUUCCGAUCCCCG
rfam:Cavia porcellus supercont2_68 genomic scaffold, whole genome shotgun sequence.